AGCCGUGCGGUGAGCACAAAGCGAGCUAUUCUUUCGCCUUUUACCAAAAAAUACCGUGUGCUCCCCGUGCCAAGCGGCAUACGCCUAUUUUUGGAGGACCCCACCUCUUUCCGGUGGUC
rfam:Cucumis sativus cultivar 9930 chromosome 4, whole genome shotgun sequence.